UACGUAGGGGGCAAGCGUUGUCCGGAUUUAUUGGGCGUAAAGAGCGUGUAGGCGGCCAGGUAGGUCAGCUGUGAAAACUCGAGGCUCAACCUCGAGACGCCGGUGGAAACCGUAAGGCUAGAGUCCGGAAGAGGAGAGUGGAAUUCCUGGUGUAGCGGUGAAAUGCGCAGAUAUCAGGAGGAACACCUAUAGCGAAGGCAGCUUGCUGGGACGUUACUGACGCUAAGGCGCGAAAGCGUGGGGAGCGAACAGG
rnacentral:rRNA from 1 species